GUGGGUCUGGGUGAGGCCUGGGACCAGGCAGAUAAAUUGCUAUUAAAAACACUACCUGCCGAGUUCUAUCCCCGGCACCAAAAAACAAACAAACAAAAAACACUACCUGGAUUCUGCUCCUGUAGCAUAGGAGCACCUCGUGAGCUGUGGAGGCUGUGUACGUAGUUCAGAUGCUUCCUAAUGCUUCGCUCAGUACUGCCUCCCGCACAUGCGUACAUUUCGCUUUGCGUGUAACAUCCGGGCACUAUGCGCCCGGUGGGGGUGAGAGUGACUCUUGACGGCGUCUUCCACUAUCCGCGAGAGUAUACCGAGGCGGUGGACUUUGGGCUGUGUGAGAGCUAUUCUACUCUUGGUAUAUCAGAAAGCUAUGGAUGUGAGGCAAACAAAAGGCAGAAUGUGAGACCUCUCAUAACUCAUUCAGAAGAAAAACCCUUGAUGUUUAACCACUAAUACAGAAGAGAUAAAUCAGUAAUACCACUGAGUAUCACUGUCCUCCCCUGUUGAUGCACCCUUGCUCUUAUUCUGGCCUGCAAGUAAGGUUAGUCCUUCUCCAAAUUCGCUCUAUCUAAACUGUCAUGAAAUCAGUUGUCUUAACCUUAUCUUGAAAGCUGAAGGGAAAGCAAACUGAAAACAGAGAAUAACUUAAAACAGCCA
rnacentral:lncRNA from 1 species